rnacentral:rRNA from 1 species
AGUGAACGCUGGCGGUAGGCCUAACACAUGCAAGUCGAACGGCAGCACAGUAAGAGCUUGCUCUUACGGGUGGCGAGUGGCGGACGGGUGAGGAAUACAUCGGAAUCUACUUUUUCGUGGGGGAUAACGUAGGGAAACUUACGCUAAUACCGCAUACGACCUACGGGUGAAAGCAGGGGAUCUUCGGACCUUGCGCGAUUGAAUGAGCCGAUGUCGGAUUAGCUAGUUGGCGGGGUAAAGGCCCACCAAGGCGACGAUCCGUAGCUGGUCUGAGAGGAUGAUGAGCCACACUGGAACUGAGACACGGUCCAGCCUCCUACGGGAGGCACCAGUGGGGAAUAUUGGACAAUGGGCGCAAGCCUGAUCCAGCCAUACCGCGUGGGUGAAGAAGGCCUUCGGGUUUUAAAGCCCUUUUGUUGGGAAAGAAAAGCAGCAGGUUAAUACCCCGCUGUUCUGACGGUACCCAAAGAAUAAGCACCGGCUAACUUCGUG